AACGAACGCUGGCGGCAGGCUUAACACAUGCAAGUCGAGCGCAUCCUUCGGGGUGAGCGGCAGACGGGUGAGUAACGCGUGGGAAUCUACCCUGAACUACGGAAUAGCUCCGGGAAACUGGGAUUAAUACCGUAUGUGUCCUGAGGGACAAAGGUUUACCGGUUUGGGAUGAGCCCGCGUCGGAUUAGCUAGUUGGUGGGGUAACGGCCUACCAAGGCGACGAUCCAUAGCUGGUCUGAGAGGAUGAUCAGCCACAUUGGGACUGAGACACGGCCCAAACUCCUACGGGAGGCAGCAGUGGGGAAUAUUGGACAAUGGGCGCAAGCCUGAUCCAGCCAUGCCGCGUGAGUGAUGAAGGUCUUAGGAUUGUAAAGCUCUUUCGGCGGGGACGAUAAUGACGGUACCCGCAGAAGAAGCCCCGGCUAACUUCGUGCCAGCCGCCGCCGUAAAAC
rnacentral:rRNA from 1 species